rnacentral:rRNA from 1 species
UACGUAGGGUGCAAGCGUUGUCCGGAAUCAUUGGGCGUAAAGCGCGUGUAGGCGGCUUGGUAAGUCUGCUCUGAGAGCCCGGGGCUCAACCCCGGGAGGCGGGUGGAUACUGUCAAGCUCGAGUCCGGAAGAGGAGUGUGGAAUUCCUGGUGUAGCGGUGAAAUGCGCAGAUAUCAGGAGGAACACCAAUGGCGAAGGCAGCACUCUGGGACGUGACUGACGCUGAGACGCGAAAGCGUGGGGAGCAAACAGG